rnacentral:rRNA from 1 species
CGGGGUGAGUAAUGUAUGGGGAUCUGCCUGAUGGCGGGGGAUAACUACUGGAAACGGUAGCUAAUACCGCAUAAUGUCUACGGACCAAAGCGGGGACCUUCGGGCCUCUUGCCAUCGGAUGUGCCCAGAUGGGAUUAGCUAGUAGGUGGGGUAACGGCUCACCUAGGCGACGAUCCCUAGCUGGUCUGAGAGGAUGACCAGCCACACUGGAACUGAGACACGGUCCAG